rnacentral:rRNA from 1 species
CUAAGGUAGCGAAAUUCCUUGUCGGGUAAGUUCCGACCCGCACGAAUGGCGUAACGAUGGCGGCGCUGUCUCCACCCGAGACUCAGUGAAAUUGAAAUCGCUGUGAAGAUGCAGUGUAUCCGCGGCUAGACGGAAAGACCCCGUGAACCUUUACUAUAGCUUUGCACUGGACUUUGAAUUUGCUUGUGUAGGAUAGGUGGGAGGCUUUGAAGCGUGGACGCCAGUUCGCGUGGAGCCAACCUUGAAAUACCACCCUGGCAACUUUGAGGUUCUAACUCAGGUCCGUUAUCCGGAUCGAGGACAGUGUAUGGUGGGUAGUUUGACUGGGGCGGUCUCCUCCUAAAGAGUAACGGAGGAGUACGAAGGUGCGCUCAGACCGGUCGGAAAUCGGUCGUAGAGUAUAAAGGCAAAAGCGCGCUUGACUGCGAGACAGACACGUCGAGCAGGUACGAAAGUAGGUCUUAGUGAUCCGGUGGUUCUGUAUGGAAGGGGCCAUCGCUCAACGGAUAAAAGGUACUCCGGGGAUAACAGGCUGAUACCGCCCAAGAGUCAUAUCGACGGCGGUGUUUGGCACCUCGAUGUCGGCUCAUCACAUCCUGGGGCUGAAGCCGGUCCCCAAGGGUAUGGCUGUUCGCCAUUUAAAAGUGGUACGCGAGCUGGGUUUAGAACGUCGUGAGACAGUUCGGUCCCUAUCUGCCGUGGACGUUUGAGAUUUGAGAGGGGCUGCUCCUAGUACGAGAGGACCGGAGUGGACGAACCUCUGGUGUUCCGGUUGUCACGCCAGUGGCAUUGCCGGGUAGCUAUGUUCGGAAUAGAUAACCGCUGAAAGCAUCUAAGCGGGAAACUAGCCUCAAGAUGAGAUCUCACUGGAACCUUGAGUUCCCUGAAGGGCCGUCGAAGACUACGACGUUGAUAGGUUGGGUGUGUAAGCGCUGUGAGGCGAUGAGCUAACCAAUACUAAUUGCCCGUGAGGCUUGACCAUAUAACACCCAAGCAAUU